rnacentral:rRNA from 1 species
UACAGAGGUCCCUAGCGUUGUUCGGAUUUACUGGGCGUAAAGGGCGCGUAGGCGGCGCGGUGUGUGAGAUGUGAAAUCUCCGGGCUCAACCCGGAAAGUGCGUCUCAAACUGCCGCGCUGGAGUACGGGAGAGGGAGUCGGAAUGCAGGGUGUAGCGGUGAAAUGCGUUGAUAUCCUGCAGAACACCGGAGGCGAAGGCGGACUCCUGGAACGUUACUGACGCUGAGGCGCGAAAGUCGGGGGAGCAAAC